GCUGGCUGAAUGUACUGGAAGAAUAAGGAUCGGCUAACUCCGUGCCCAGCAGCCGCGGUAAUACGGAGGAUCCGAGCGUUAUCCGGAUUUAUUGGGUUUAAAGGGUGCGUAGGCGGCCUGUUAAGUCAGGGGUGAAAUACGGUGGCUCAACCAUCGCAGUGCCUUUGAUACUGACGGGCUUGAAUCCAUUUGAAGUGGGCGGAAUAAGACAAGUAGCGGUGAAAUGCAUAGAUAUGUCUUAGAACUCCGAUUGCGAAGGCAGCUCACUAAGCUGGUAUUGACGCUGAUGCACGAAAGCGUGGGGAUCGAACAGGAUUAGAUACCCUGGUAGUCCACGCCCUAAACGAUGAUAACUCGAUGUUGGCGAUAGACCGCCAGCGUCCAAGCGAAAGCGUUAAGUUAUCCACCUGGGGAGUACGCCCGCAAGGGUGAAACUCAAAGGAAUUGACGGGGGCCCGCACAAGCGGAGGAGCAUGUGGUUUAAUUCGAUGAUACGCGAGGAACCUUACCCGGGCUUGAAAGUUAGUGAAGGAUGCAGAGACGCAUCCGUCCUUCGGGACACGAAACUAGGUGCUGCAUGGCUGUCGUCAGCUCGUGCCGUGAGGUGUUGGGUUAAGUCCCGCAACGAGCGCAACCCCUAUGUUUAGUUGCCAGCAAGUAAUGUUGGGGACUCUAAACAGACUGCCUGCGCAAGCAGAGAGGAAGGUGGGGACGACGUCAAGUCAUCAUGGCCCUUACGUCCGGGGCUACACACGUGCUACAAUGGAUGGUACAGCGGGCAGCUACAUAGCAAUAUGGUGCUAAUCUCUAAAAGCCAUUCACAGUUCGGAUUGGGGUCUGCAACUCGACCCCAUGAAGUUGGAUUCGCUAGUAAUCGCGUAUCAGCAAUGACGCGGUGAAUACGUUCCCGGGCCUUGUACACACCGCCCGUCAAGCCAUGAAAGUUGGGGGUACCUAAAGCAUGUGACCGCAAGGAGCGGUUAGG
rnacentral:rRNA from 1 species